rnacentral:rRNA from 1 species
UACGUAGGGGGCUAGCGUUGUCCGGAUUUAUUGGGCGUAAAGAGCGUGUAGGCGGCCAGGUUGGUCUGCUGUGAAAACUCGAGGCUCAACCUCGAGACGUCGGCGGAAACCAUCUGGCUAGAGUCCGGAAGAGGAGAGUGGAAUUCCUGGUGUAGCGGUGAAAUGCGCAGAUAUCGGGAAGAACACCCGUGGCGAAGGCGGCUCUCUGGGACGGUACUGACGCUGAGACGCGGAAAGCGUGGGGAGCGAACAGG